rnacentral:rRNA from 1 species
CAAAGGAGCAAUCCGCUGAAAGAUGGGCUCGCGUCCGAUUAGGUAGUUGGUGAGGUAACGGCCCACCAAGCCGACGAUCGGUAGCCGGACUGAGAGGUCGGACGGCCACAUUGGGACUGAGACACGGCCCAGACUCCUACGGGAGGCAGCAGUAAGGGAUAUUGGUCAAUGGGGGAAACCCUGAACCAGCAACGCCGCGUGAGGGAAGACGGUUUUCGGAUUGUAAACCUCUGUCCUCUGUGAAGAUGAUGACGGUAGCAGAGGAGGAAGCUCCGGCUAACUACGUGCCAGCAGCCGCGGUAAUACGUAGGGAGCGAGCGUUGUCCGGAUUUACUGGGUGUAAAGGGUGCGUAGGCGGCUGUGCAAGUCAGUAGUGAAAUCCAUGGGCUUAACCCAUGAACUGCUAUUGAAACUGCACAGCUUGAGUGAAGUAGAGGUAGGCGGAAUUCCCGGUGUAGCGGUGAAAUGCGUAGAGAUCGGGAGGAACACCAGUGGCGAAGGCGGCCUACUGGGCUUUAACUGACGCUGAGGCACGAAAGCGUGGGUAGCAAACAGGAUUAGAUACCCUGGUAGUCCACGCUGUAAACGAUGAUUACUAGGUGUGGGGGGACUGAACCCUUCC